rnacentral:tRNA from 1 species
GUUUUAAUAGUUUAACAAAAACAUUGGUCUUGUAUACCAAAAAUAAGAUACUAUCUUUUAAAACU